AAUCAGCAAUGUUGAAGUAUUUCAUGUUCGCCCUCCUUACCUUCUUGGUAUUGGUCAACAAUGGUCUCUGUGGCGAAGGUGCAUUCGAAGAAUGCGUUAACUAUCACAACUGCGCCUCGAAGCAUGGAAGUCAACAAGACAGUUGCUACGAUAUGUGCAGUUCAAAUUUGUAGUAACGGAACUGCCCGUUAAAGAUGACGUUUCUUGUUCAAAAUAUAACUUGAGCAAUAAAUAAUUUAAAAAUGA